rnacentral:rRNA from 1 species
UGGGGAAUUUUGCACAAUGGGGGCAACCCUGAUGCAGCGACGCCGCGUGAUUUAGAAGGCCUUCGGGUUGUAAAAAUCUUUUGUAUAGGAAGAAAAUGACAGUACUAUACGAAUAAGGUCCGGCUAAUUACGUGCCAGCAGCCGCGGUAAUACGUAAGGACCGAGCGUUUUCCGGAAUCAUUGGGCGUAAAGGGUACGUAGGCGGUUAAAAAAGUUAGAAGUGAAAGGCUAUAGCUAAACUAUAGUAAGCUUUUAAAACUGUUUAACUUGAGAGAUGGAAGGGAAAGUGGAAUUCCUAGUGUAGCGGUGAAAUGCGCAGAUAUUAGGAGGAAUACCGGUGGCGAAGGCGACUUUCUGGCCAGUAUCUGACGCUGAGGUACGAAAGCGUGGGUAGCAAACAGG